rnacentral:rRNA from 1 species
UACGGAGGGUGCGAGCGUUGCUCGGAAUUACUGGGCGUAAAGCGUACGCAGGCUGUUCUGUAAGUCGGGUGUGAAAGCCCGGGGCUCAACCCCGGAAUUGCGCCCGAGACUGCAGGGCUUGAAUGCGGGAGAGGGAAGCGGAAUUCCUGGUGUAGAGGUGAAAUUCGUAGAUAUUAGGAAGAACACCAGUGGCGAAGGCGGCUCACUGGUCCGGUACUGACGCUGAGGUGCGAAAGCGUGGGUAGCGAACAGG